rnacentral:rRNA from 1 species
UACGGCCACAUAACGUUGAAACACCUGUUCUUGUACGAGCACCAAAGUCAAGCAAUGUCGAGCCUGGUCAGUACCUAGACGGGUCACCGUUUGGGAAUAUCAGGUACUGUAAG